UACAGAGGGUGCGAGCGUUAAUCGGAAUUACUGGGCGUAAAGCGCGCGUAGGCGGCUUUUCAAGUCGAUUGUGAAAUCCCCGGGCUUAACCUGGGAACUGCAGUCGAGACUGUCUAGCUAGAGUAUGGGAGAGGGAAGUGGAAUUUCAGGUGUAGCGGUGAAAUUCGUAGAUAUCAAGCGGAACACCGGUGGCGAAGGCGGCCUUCUGGACAGUGACUGACGCUGAGACGCGAAAGCGUGGGGAGCAAACAGG
rnacentral:rRNA from 1 species